GACGAACGCUGGCGGCGUGCUUAACACAUGCAAGUCGAACGGUGAACCUUCUUCGGGAGGGGAUCAGUGGCGAACGGGUGAGUAACACGUGGGCAACCUGCCUCUAGCUCUGGGAUAACUCCGGGAAACCGGGGCUAAUACCGGAUAUGACCUGCCUGGGCAUCUGGGUGGGUGGAAAGUUUUUCGGCUAGGGAUGGGCCCGCGGCCUAUCAGCUUGUUGGUGGGGUGAUGGCCUACCAAGGCGACGACGGGUAGCCGGCCUGAGAGGGCGACCGGCCACACUGGGACUGAGACACGGCCCAGACUCCUACGGGAGGCAGCAGUGGGGAAUAUUGCGCAAUGGGCGAAAGCCUGACGCAGCGACGCCGCGUGAGGGAUGACGGCCU
rnacentral:rRNA from 1 species